CCCUUAGAUGUUCUGGGCAGCACGCGCGCUACAAUGGUCUUCGCAAACGGAUGCAUUCUCGAAGGAGAAUGCCAAUCUUGGAAUCUAUGCCUUGGUCGGGACAGUUGCUUGCAAUUUUUCGACUCGAACCAGGAAUUCCUUGUAAUCGUGAUUCAUCACAUCACGAUGAAUACGUCCCUGCCCUUUGUACACACCGCCCGUCGCUCCUACCGAUCGAAGAGUUAGGUGAAUUGUUUUGAUCGAUAAGAUUUGACUAUGGUCAACUCUCGUUGUGAAAUUCUAUGAAUCUGACUGUUUAGAGGAAGGAAAAGUCGUAACA
rnacentral:rRNA from 1 species